AGUGUCUGAACUCCAUCUCUUUCUAGACAUUUAGCACCUGAAUCAGGUUUGCAAGAAUAUAUCUUCAUCUUUUUAAGAUCCAGAGCACAGAAUGUUCUUUUGCACUUUUACACAAACUGUUUUUCUUUGAAAGAACAGAUCACACGAUGUUGCUACCUAUCUUUCCGAUAACAGCCUUGAAGAGGCCUUGACCAGAAAGUUUGAGAACUGAACUGCAGAGUCCCUUCAGCAUAUUCAUACUACCCAUCUGUCUGGUGAUGAGAGGCUGAGAAUACUCUCAAAUGGAGCAUCUGAGCCAGCAGAAUAAGUCAACAUUUUUUCAGCAUUUAAUAAGGAGAAGAAAGUAAACAGUCAGAUGAAGAGCUGGAUUGAAGAUUUCAAGAGGAGACUCUGCUUGGAUCCCUUACCUAGUGGUCUCAGUGAACACGAGCAGAGUCCUGCUGGAAGACAGGCCCUAAGAGUGCCCAUGCUGUGCUCCAGCCACAGAAGUGUUGAGUUCAUAGGACCAGAUCGCACUGACCAUAAAGUAAAACUCUGCAACAUGCACAGAAUAGAUGAUGUUUUGUCAUCAUCCUCAAAUAUCUGCCAGGGCCACAGGCAUGUAUCAGACAAUAUAUAGUGCCUACAUGGACCACAGAAAUGAGCACUCCACUAACAUAGGCAGUGGAGGUUGGAGAGCUGAUCAAAGGACGACAUUAACAUUACCGUGAGAUAAAUAGCUUUGAUAUGUUGUGCACAUUUUGUGUUGCACAAUUUGCUUAGUAUCAAGCAGAAAUGCUCGUUCAUUUGCCAAAACAGCAAUUGUAAUCAAUUUUUUCUUUUCCUGCAGUCCCUUAUCACAUUUGCUACCCAGAUUCCAAUUUCUUGAGUAAGGAUGCAGCCUUAUAGCAAACUCUUUCACUAUACAGCUCGAUUUAUUUUCAGAACACUAUCUUACUCUGUGAAGGAAUCAAGAUCUGGAAAAAAAAAAAAGAAAGAAAAAAGAAAAAACAAUGAAAAGAUUUGUCUCACUUAGCUUUAGCCAUAUCAAAGUUAGAGAUCUACUCCAGUCACAUUUUCUAAAAAGAAACAAGCAGCUCAUAAAGGUAAUUAUUUCCAUUUAUUUUAGCAUCAUAACCUUCUGGAUUUACAUACAUUUUGAAGUGAUUACAGAGAAAACCUACACAGCUAGCUUAGACUAGACACCUAACUUUUAGAUGGCUGAAGUUAUAAGAAAUAAAAUCAUGUCCAUGUGAUCCUGCUAUUAAAAA
rnacentral:lncRNA from 1 species